CCUUGAUGACGACUGGCGCACGGUGAGUAACGCGUAUCCAACCUUCCCAUAACUACGGGAUAACCCGUUGAAAGACGGCCUAAUACCGUAUGAUAUCGUUUGCUGACAUCAAAUAACGAUUAAAGGUUUAGCGGUUAUGGAUGGGGAUGCGUCUGAUUAGCUUGUUGGCGGGGUAACGGCCCACCAAGGCAACGAUCGGUAGGGGUUCUGAGAGGAAGGUCCCCCCACAUUGGAACUGAGACACGGUCCAAACUCCUACGGGAGGCAGCAGUC
rnacentral:rRNA from 1 species